rnacentral:other from 1 species
UACGGCCGAAUUAACCCGUAAGGUUACUAUAUAAUCCGAACAGAUUUUAUAUGGAGGUUGGGUAUACUUAAUUCUGUGUUGAAAGCUUACUUUAAGUAAGAAUCCUGAAGGAUUGGUCGAAACUUCCACCUGCAACUAUUUGCGGGUUAACCUGUAACCUACGAUUAAUUGGGUUCUUA